rnacentral:lncRNA from 10 species
UGGGGUUGGGGAGAAAAAAGGAGGGUUCGUGCUAACUCAAGCUUAUGAGACACAUCUUCUGGAUUUCCUUCCAUUUCUCUGAAGGCGGAUGGGUUACUGGCUAUGACCAAGGGACAGGGAGACACACAUGCGCACAUGCACACACUUUGGCAUCUUUGUGGUUCCAAUGUGGGCACCAACCAGCACUUUUCUGCCUGGACGUUAACACACACUGACAAGGAAACCAGCCCUGAAGUCAAAGUUCCAAUCACCACGGCACUAUGCCAUCGGAAUCACAUCAAUUAUUGCAGGUUUUUCUCUUUGGAGAACUUAGGAGUGAGGUUUAAAAUGCAGGAAGCUCCCUCUCUCAUCUCCUUAAUAAACUUCUGCCUCAUGCUGCCAGGCUUGGAGACAGGUGGAAAGAAUUCAGCUGCAGCGCCGUAAGCCGCAAAGUUUUCAAGGUUCUCCCUUCCUGGAUGGCACGAGGCUGUACAUUUUCCCUCCCCCAAAUCUUCUAAACCACAUGGAAACAUCCCUCUUUAUCCUAAUGUUAAUGAAUUGGGAAGCCCCUUCCACCCAGAUCAAUUUCACAGGCACUGGAGUUCCAGAUGUUGAGUUAAGCAGCAUUUUAAUUUGUCAUUAGUGCCCCGGGAGCAUAAACCCAUACCACCAAGCAAAACACUAUAGCCUCUAAGCUAUUAGCUAACAUGUCAACUAGGUAAUGCAUCUUCAGGGAAACCAGAUUGGAAAGGACAGCAAAACAUUGAUUUUUUUUUUUUUUUUUUUUUUUUUUUUUUUUUUUUUUUAAGAAUCCUAUACCUGCAGCAUAAUGCUGCUAAAGCUGGCAAAACAACAAAGGACAUUUCUACAGCAAGGAAAUGUCCUAUUCUCAGUGCUGGGGCAGUGAACAUUGUUCCAUCUGAGCAUGGUCACAUAUAUGGGGCAAAGCAAUUCUUCCUUAAACCUACAGGCUUUUUAUUUUGUAAAUAAUUCAUCCUCCGGCGCCUAAGAAAGCUAAGGGAGAGAAUGGGUAGACAUGUGAACGGCUGGGAACACCAGUUGAGAGCAAUGCUACUCACGGAGCAGGUGGAGCUUUCUUUUUUUCUCUCCUUCCAAAGGAAACAAUAGCAUUUGUAUCAAGUGAAAACGGCUAAGAAACUCAUCCCUUUGAAGGAGAGUGUGGAUGCAUUUGUAUAGAGAAGAUUUCAAACAUGCAUUCUUUAUCCUGGCUCCUGCAGCCUGCCCACAAAUCACUAUACAGUUAAAGACAAGCCCAAAUACCUUGUAUAACAAACAGAUCCC